rnacentral:rRNA from 1 species
AGAUUGAACGCUGGCGGCAUGCCUUACACAUGCAAGUCGAACGGUAACAGGUUAAGCUGACGAGUGGCGAACGGGUGAGUAAUAUAUCGGAACGUGCCCAGUAGUGGGGGAUAGCCCGGCGAAAAGCCGGAUUAAUACCGCAUACGACCUACGGGUGAAAGCGGGGGAUCGCAAGACCUCGCGCUAUUGGAGCGGCCGAUAUCAGAUUAGCUUGUUGGUGGGGUAAAAGCCCACCAAGGCGACGAUCUGUAGCUGGUCUGAGAGGACGACCAGCCACACUGGGACUGAGACACGGCCCAGACUCCUACGGAGGCAGCAGUGGGGAAUUUUGGACAAUGGACGCAAGUCUGAUCCAGCCAUGCCGCGUGCGGAAGAAGGCCUUCGGUUGUAAACCGCUUUGUCAGGAAGAAAGUUUCGGUUAAGUACCUUGAGGCGAUGACGGUACCUGAAGAAUAAGCACCGGCUAACUACGUGCCAGCAGCUGCGGU